rnacentral:rRNA from 1 species
GACGAACGCUGGCGGCGUGCUUAACACAUGCAAGUCGAGCGGAAAGGCCCUUCGGGGUACUCGAGCGGCGAACGGGUGAGUAACACGUGAGUAACCUGCCCUCAGCUUUGGGAUAACCCUCGGAAACGGGGGCUAAUACCGAAUAUUCACAUUGGACGGCAUCGUUUGGUGUGGAAAGUUUUUCGGCUGGGGAUGGCUCGCGGCCUAUCAGCUUGUUGGUGGGGUAAUGGCCUACCAAGGCGACGACGGGUAGCCGGCCUGAGAGGGCGACCGGCCACACUGGGACUGAGACACGGCCCAGACUCCUACGGGAGGCAGCAGUGGGGAAUAUUGCACAAUGGGGCGGAAGCCUGAUGCAGCGACGCCGCGUGA